CCUGGACAAAUCAAGUGUUUCAGAUUCGUGAGGGAGGGUGAACGACAUAACAUGAUUGAUUUAAUCAGAGUGGGGAGGAGGGUGAACGAUAUAACAUGAUUGAUUUAAUCAGUGGGGAAAGGAAAAAGAUGCGGACCGAGAGAGUUGACAGGUGAAACAGGGGUCCUGAAGAACAGAACGGAAGUCACAAUGACCACCACUCGCUUGACGCAGUUGCCCACUGAGUGGGUGACUGGGGACACCCUAGCGAGGAUCAUGUAUGACACCUUCAACAAAAUAAGCAGAACAAGAUCAGUCAGUAAAUUCCAAACUGUGAAUGCUCUGACACCAUGUAUACACAUGGAAUGGAAUUUGUACAUGCAUAUCAAACAAUCUGAAUUCAGCACCAAUGGUGUAAUUUAAGGAACAAAUAAUUCCAAUAAUUUCAACAAGAUGAGUCAUCAGACAGCUGAAUAGAUGGCUGACCUGUUGGUAGGCAUGGAAGCAGAAUGCAGCAAUCAGGGAUCUGGUGUAUAUCUGUUUUAAGUUCAAGCCCUGCACAAGAAAGAUAUUUUUUUCUCCAGAAAUUUAGAAUUGUCCUCAAGCCAGUCUGCAAGGUGUCAUGGAUAAAUAAACAACAGGAUACUCACAGCAGACUGCAACACUGCAGGACUGACUUUGACACCCUCUGUUAGUAAGGUGACUGGGGCCAAGAGGCAGAAUGACAUGACUGUAAUGAUAGAGAAGAGGUUAAUGUUGUCC
rnacentral:lncRNA from 1 species